AAUUUCUGGUACGAUGUGCCUUGAUCCACGGUCGCAAGAUCGCGCGUAUCGGAGUAUAUCUGCCAUCCUUCUAGUUAACUGGCUGUACUUAACUGUGCGGUCAGCGAUCUAGAUCUUUUACUUUGAAAAAAUUAGAGUGUUUAAAGCAGGCUUGCGCUAUGAAUACAUUAGCAUGGAAUAAUAAUUUAGGACUUUGCUCCUAUUUUAUUGGUUUCUAGGGGUAAAGUAAUGAUUGAUAGGGAUAGUUGGGGGUGCUAGUAUUCAUCGGCCAGAGGUGAAAUUCUUGGAUUCGAUGAAGACUAACUUAUGCGAAAGCAUU
rnacentral:rRNA from 1 species